rnacentral:rRNA from 1 species
CGAGUGGCGGACGGGUGAGUAAUGUCUGGGAAACUGCCUGGUGGAGGGGGAUAACUACUGGAAACGGUAGCUAAUACCGCAUAACGUCGCAAGACCAAAGAGGGGGACCUUCGGGCCUCUUGCCAUCGGAUGUGCCCAGAUGGGAUUAGCUAGUAGGUGGGGUAACGGCUCACCUAGGCGACGAUCCCUAGCUGGUCUGAGAGGAUGACCAGCCACACUGGAACUGAGACACGGUCCAG